rnacentral:rRNA from 1 species
GGGUGAAAAGCCCGCUCGCCGGAAGACCAAGGGUUCCUGUCCAACGUUAAUCGGGGCAGGGUGAGUCGACCCCUAAGGCGAGGCCGAAAGGCGUAGUCGAUGGGAAACAGGUUAAUAUUCCUGUACUUGGUGUUACUGCGAAGGGGGGACGGAGAAGGCUAUGUUGGCCGGGCGACGGUUGUCCCGGUUUAAGCGUGUAGGCUGGUUUUCCAGGCAAAUCCGGAAAACCAAGGCUGAGGCGUGAUGACGAGGCACUACGGUGCUGAAGCGACAAAUGCCCUGCUUCCAGGAAAAGCCUCUAAGCAUCAGGUAACAUCAAAUCGUACCCCAAACCGACACAGGUGGUCAGGUAGAGAAUACCAAGGCGCUUGAGAGAACUCGGGUGAAGGAACUAGGCAAAAUGGUGCCGUAACUUCGGGAGAAGGCACGCUGAUAUGUAGGUGAAGCGACUUGCUCGUGGAGCUGAAAUCAGUCGAAGAUACCAGCUGGCUGCAACUGUUUAUUAAAAACACAGCACUGUGCAAACACGAAAGUGGACGUAUACGGUGUGACGCCUGCCCGGUGCCGGAAGGUUAAUUGAUGGGGUUAGCGGCAACGCGAAGCUCUUGAUCGAAGCCCCGGUAAACGGCGGCCGUAACUAUAACGGUCCUAAGGUAGCGAAAUUCCUUGUCGGGUAAGUUCCGACCUGCACGAAUGGCGUAAUGAUGGCCAGGCUGUCUCCACCCGAGACUCAGUGAAAUUGAACUCGCUGUGAAGAUGCAGUGUACCCGCGGCAAGACGGAAAGACCCCGUGAACCUUUACUAUAGCUUGACACUGAACAUUGAGCCUUGAUGUGUAGGAUAGGUGGGAGGCUUUGAAGUGUGGACGCCAGUCUGCAUGGAGCCGACCUUGAAAUACCACCCUUUAAUGUUUGAUGUUCUAACGUUGGCCCGUAAUCCGGGUUGCGGACAGUGUCUGGUGGGUAGUUUGACUGGGGCGGUCUCCUCCUAAAGAGUAACGGAGGAGCACGAAGGUUGGCUAAUCCUGGUCGGACAUCAGGAGGUUAGUGCAAUGGCAUAAGCCAGCUUGACUGCGAGCGUGACGGCGCGAGCAGGUGCGAAAGCAGGUCAUAGUGAUCCGGUGGUUCUGAAUGGAAGGGCCAUCGCUCAACGGAUAAAAGGUACUCCGGGGAUAACAGGCUGAUACCGCCCAAGAGUUCAUAUCGACGGCGGUGUUUGGCACCUCGAUGUCGGCUCAUCACAUCCUGGGGCUGAAGUAGGUCCCAAGGGUAUGGCUGUUCGCCAUUUAAAGUGGUACGCGAGCUGGGUUUAGAACGUCGUGAGACAGUUCGGUCCCUAUCUGCCGUGGGCGCUGGAGAACUGAGGGGGGCUGCUCCUAGUACGAGAGGACCGGAGUGGACGCAUCACUGGUGUUCGGGUUGUCAUGCCAAUGGCACUGCCCGGUAGCUAAAUGCGGAAGAGAUAAGUGCUGAAAGCAUCUAAGCACGAAACUUGC